rnacentral:rRNA from 1 species
UUUGAUGGCGACCGGCGCACGGGUGAGUAACACGUAUCCAACCUGCCGAUGACUCGGGGAUAGCCUUUCGAAAGAAAGAUUAAUACCCGAUGGCAUAGUUCUUCCGCAUGGUAGAACUAUUAAAGAAUUUCGGUCAUCGAUGGGGAUGCGUUCCAUUAGGUUGUUGGCGGGGUAACGGCCCACCAAGCCUUCGAUGGAUAGGGGUUCUGAGAGGAAGGUCCCCCACAUUGAAACUGAGACACGGUCCAA